rnacentral:rRNA from 1 species
AUUGAACGCUGGCGGCAUGCUUUACACAUGCAAGUCGAACGAGUGGCGAACGGGUGAGUAACAUAUCGGAACGUACCGAAUAAUGGGGGAUAACUAAUCGAAAGAUUAGCUAAUACCGCAUAUUAUUCGAUCUGCCCAGAUCGGAUUAGCUGGUUGGUGGGGUAAAGGCCUACCAAGGCGACGAUCACUAGCGGGUCUGAGAGGAUGAUCAGCCACACUGGGAGUGAGACACGGCCCAGACUCCUACGGGAGGCAGCAGUGGGGAAUUUUGGACAAUGGGCGCAAGCCUGAUCCAGCCAUGCCGCGUGUCUGAAGAAGGCCUUCGGGUUGUAAAGGACUUUUGUCAGGGAAGCGGUACCCGCAGAAUAAGCACCGGCUAACUACGUGCCAGCAGCCGCGGUAAUAC